UACAAAACAUCGGCAUGAGUAUCCACUGUCUAAUGUGACACUCAAUAAGAAUGGUGCAUAAAGUGUCUGCAGUAACUAGUAUAGUCAGCUGCAAGAAUGACCUCAUUGAAUUGACUGUCCUACGCCAGGAUUCUUCUCCCUGCUAGCAGGAGAAUCUUCAACCUGUAAACCAAUUCUCACUUAAUAUGGAUGACAGAAAUUGCCACUUUCUAUGAUUAUAAGCCUAGAGCAAUAGGAGCAUGCCCCUUUUUUUGCAAGCAGUUGAGCUCACACCAUGAAAUAAUAUGAGAAACCUGCCUAUUUAGACUUUACUUUUCUUGUUUUCUUUUACAAAUACAUCCUGGAAGGGGAUUCGCAUAAAAACUUUCCUCCAGCUUUGGAGAAAUUCCAGGCUCCCUUAGAUAUGGAGCUCCAAUUUGAUCUUUGUGAAGCUCUUUCACUUUGGAACUGAAUGUCUCCCACGAGAUUUUUCCUUCAUCCAACUCAUCCACAAGCAUCACAAAAUUCAUCUUGUCUGGACUAAUAGUCUUCUUGAAGUCCUCAAAUCGCCUGUGACCUUGAACUGCCUUUGCCAUAUUUCCAUCAUAUGUAUAAACAAAUACAUCACUUUGAAGUGCAACAACAUAGUCUAAACCAGCCAACAUGUUCUGAUGAUUCUUGAAAGGAUUCAGCUCUUCCUCUGUGGCAAGAGUGGAAUGUGAGAAUAUGUUAGGGAAGUCAUCCAGAAGAUAUUGCAUGCUUCCUUUCCCAUAAGCUUCACCAGCUACCAAGUAAAUCCUGGUGUUAGAUGGAAAACCUAGCCCUUUAAGCAAAAGAGAAGUCUCCCUCGGGGUCAAUGGACAAACACCAAGCAAUCUUCUUUCUGUUCCAUUUAUUUCUUUCUCCUUCCAGUGGCUGACUUCAUAACGCAUCCCGCGUAGCUCUUCAUCUUCUUCUGCUGUCAAAUUAUGACUGCAGCCUGUAAAUGCAAGCAUAUCCUUCUCAUACCUCAAAUGGAGAGCAAGAUAAGGGUUUUCAUUUUCUCUCAUUCUGGAGAUCAAGAUGUUUCCCAGUUCUUCUAUUGGUUCAGAAUACUUCAAUGCCCUGUAAUUGAC
rnacentral:misc_RNA from 1 species